CAGUCGCCGCGGGAAUACGUAGGUGGCGAGCGUUGUCCGGAUUUAUUGGGCGUAAAGGGAGUGUAGGCGGUCUUUUAAGUCUGAUGUGAAAGCCCACGGCUCAACCGUGGAGGGUCAUUGGAAACUGGGAGACUUGAGUGCAGAAGAGGAGAGCGGAAUUCCAUGUGUAGCGGUGAAAUGCGUAGAUAUAUGGAGGAACACCAGUGGCGAAGGCGGCUCUCUGGUCUGUAACUGACGCUGAGGCUCGAAAGCGUGGGGAGCAAACAGGAUUAGAUACCCCUGUAGUCCCUGUCUCUUAUAC
rnacentral:rRNA from 1 species